rnacentral:rRNA from 1 species
AGCAGUAGCCGCGGUAAUACGGAGGGGGCUAGCGUUGUUCGGAAUUACUGGGCGUAAAGCGCACGUAGGCGGCUUGGUAAGCUAGAGGUGAAAGCCUGGAGCUCAACUCCAGAAUUGCCUUUAAGACUGCCGAGCUAGCAGGUGAGAGAGGUAAGUGGAAUUCCGAGUGUAGAGGUGAAAUUCGUAGAUAUUCGGAAGAACACCAGUGGCGAAGGCGGCUUACUGGCUCAUACUGGACGCUGAGGUGCGAAAGCGUGGGGAGCAAACAGGAUUAGAUACCCCCGUAGUCCCUGUCUCUUAUAC